rnacentral:tRNA from 2 species
GCGGCGGUAGCUCAGUUGGUAGAGCGCGACCCUCCCACGGUCGAGGUCGCGAGUUCGAAUCUCGUCCGCCGCU